GAUGAACGCUGGCGGCGUGCCUAAUACAUGCAAGUCGAGCGAACAGACGAGGAGCUUGCUCCUCUGACGUUAGCGGCGGACGGGUGAGUAACACGUGGAUAACCUACCUAUAAGACUGGGAUAACUUCGGGAAACCGGAGCUAAUACCGGAUAAUAUAUUGCACCGCAUGGUUCAAUAGUGAAAGACGGUUUUGCUGUCACUUAUAGAUUGAUCCGCGCCGCAUUAGCUAGUUGGUAAGGUAACGGCUUAUCAAGGCGACGAUGCGUAGCCGACCUGAGAGGGUGAUCGGCCACACUGGAACUGAGACACGGUCCAGACUCCUACGGGAGGCAGCAGUAGGGAAUCUUCCGCAAUGGGCGAAAGCCUGACGGAGCAACGCCGCGUGAGUGAUGAAGGUCUUCGGAUCGUAAAACUCUGUUAUUAGGGAAGAACAAAUGUGUAAGUAACUAUGCACGUCUUGACGGUACCUAAUCAGAAAGCCACGGCUAACUACGUG
rnacentral:rRNA from 1 species